UCUUUAUCCUGUGGCUAAAACUCUACGGCAGAAAUAAAGGUGGAAUGGGUGCCCUUGACUCCAUCAGCCUCAGAGGGACCUCUGUCAAAUGGUCCCACUCACAUGACAAGAAACUCUAUCCUGUGGUUUUGAUUUUAUCUGACAACAGUGCUCAAUUGUAGGGAUUAUUAUCUUCAUUGAUCAAGAACCCGAGCUUUAAGAAGAAUCUUGGCCAAGGUAACUUAGCUGCUAAAUGGGGGAGAGAUAUCACUGCACAUGUGCAACACGGACUCCUGUCUCCAGGAUGACCCUGGAACCAAGGAUCUUCAGUCUACGGAAUUCAAAGAAUAGAAAUGUUGCCACCAGAGCUCUUUACAAAGCAAGAACUCCUUCAGUGAGGAAAAUCCAGCUUCCAGGAGCAAGAGUAGCUUGAUUACCAUAUAUGGACUGAUUCAAGAUUAGCCAAUCAGCUUCCAGGUUUGAAAUUCUCCUAAUUCCUUAAAUUUCACCCUGAACCUUGGAUCUGGGAGACAGAUUUGAGCUCUGCAGGUCGACCUCGCAAUAAAGCUCUUUCUUUUCUCAAAAGCCGAUGCCAGAGUAUUGGCUUUUGUGUGCCUUGGGCAGUGAGCUUUCGUUUGGUAACACUAAUCUCUGGCACCCAGUAGGUUUCUAAUCCUACCACUAUGCCUGGCACAUAGCAGGUGUUCAAUAAAUAUUUGUUAAAUAAAUCUUAUAUAAAAUCCCUGCUCAAAAACUUCCAAUGGCUUCCUAUAAACUUUCAACUUCCUCCUGACUUACAUAUUAAGAAUCAUUCUGUGUAGUUUGGAGCUGAGAGUUUCAAAGAAUAUCUUUGGGUCUAUGACCCAAACUAUGACCCGAGUUUCUUUAUUACCUCUAAAUACUUAGAGUAUCUACUAAGAUUAGGAAGGCUUCCCCACCUCAUGUCCUCAUUAGCUUUUCCUUGAACUAUUAUUAUUAUUAUUAUUAUUAUUAUUAUUAUUUUUUUUUUUUA